CCUACGGGAGGCUGCAGUGGGGAAUAUUGGGCAAUGGGCGCAAGCCUGACCCAGCAACGCCGCGUGAAGGAAGAAGGCUUUCGGGUUGUAAACUUCUUUUAAGAGGGAAGAGCAGAAGACGGUACCUCUUGAAUAAGCCACGCCUAACUACGUGCCAGACGCCGCGGUAAUACGUAGGGGGCAAGCGUUGUCCGGGUGUACUGGGUGUAAAGGGCGUGUAGCCGGGUUGACAAGUCAGAUGUGAAAUCCCGUGGCCCAACCACGGAACUGCAUUUGAAACUGUCGGUCUUGAGUAUCGGAGAGGCAGGCGGAAUUCCUAGUGUAGCAGUUGAAUGCGUAGAUAUUAGGAGGAACACCAGUGGCGAAGGCGGCCUGCUGGACGACAACUGACGGUGAGGCGCGAAAGCGUGGGGAGCAAACAGGAUUAGAUACCCUAGUAGUC
rnacentral:rRNA from 1 species